rnacentral:rRNA from 1 species
AUUGAACGCUGGCGGCAUGCCUUACACAUGCAAGUCGAACGGCAGCACGGGAGCAAUCCUGGUGGCGAGUGGCGAACGGGUGAGUAAAGUAUCGGAACGUGCCCAGUCGUGGGGGAUAACGUAGCGAAAGUUAAGCUAAUACCGCAUACGAUCUACGGAUGAAAGCGGGGGAUCGCAAGACCUCGCGCGAUUGGAGCGGCUGAUAUCAGAUUAGGUAGUUGGUGGGGUAAAGGCUCACCAAGCCGACGAUCUGUAGCUGGUCUGAGAGGACGACCAGCCACACUGGGACUGAGACACGGCCCAGACUCCUACGGGAGGCAGCAGUGGGGAAUUUUGGACAAUGGGCGCGAGCCUGAUCCAGCCAUGCCGCGUGCAGGAUGAAGGCCUUCGGGUUGUAAACUGCUUUUGUACGGAACGAAAAGGUUUGGCCUAAUAAGCUGGACCCAUGACGGUACCGUAAGAAUAAGCACCGGCUAACUACGUGCCAGCCGCCGCAGUAA